rnacentral:rRNA from 1 species
GUGUAUGACCAUACUGCCCUGAAUUCACCCAGUCUCCCCUGAGGCAGCUAAGCAGAGUCAGACCUGGGUAGUAAUGGCACAGGAGAGUGAAUCCUCAAACCACGCAGCUUAGCCG